UUUUAGCUCACCUGAGCUGAAAGCUCAAGUGAGCUUUUCUGAUCACAUUUUGUCCGGCGUCCGUCUGUCUGUCCGUCUGUCCGUCUGUCUGUAAACUUUUCACAUUUUCGACUUCUUCUCAAGAACCCCUGGGCCAAUUUCAACCAAACUUGCCACAAAGUAUCCUUGGGUGAAGGGGAUUCAAGUUUGUUCAAAUAAAGGGCCACGCCCUCAUUCAAGGGGAGAUAAUUGGGAAUUUAUGAAAAUUUGGUGGCAUAUUUUAAAAAUCUUCUUCUCAAGAACCACUGUGCCAGGAAAGAUGAAACUUAUGGGGAUACAUCCUCAGGUAGUGUAGAUUCAAAUUUUUUCAAAUCAUGACCCCCGGGGGUAGGGCGGGGCCAAAAUGGCCGACCAAAGUUUUACAUAGAAAUAUAUAGGAAAAUUCUUUAAAAAUCUUCUUCUCAAGAAUGACAAAGCCAUAAUUCAUCAUAUUUAUAUGGAAGCAUGCUCAGGUAGUGUAGAUUCAAGUUUGUUCAAAUCAUGACCCCCCGGGGGUAGGGCGGGGCCAAAAAUGGCAAAAUGAAGUUUUACAUAGAAAUAUAUAGGAAAAUUCUUUAAAAAUCUUCUUCUCAAGAAUGACAAAGGCAUAAUUCAUCAUAUAUUAAUGGAAGCAUGUUCAGGUAGUGUAGAUUCAAGUUUGUUCAAAUCAUGACCCCCCGGGGUAGGGCGGGGCCAAAAUGGCCGACCAAAUUUUACAUAGAAAUAUAUAGGUAAAUUCUUUAAAGAUCUUCUUCUCAAGAAUGACAAAGCCAUAAUUCAUCAUAUUUAUAUGGAAGCAUGCUCAGGUAGUGUAGAUUCAAGUUUAUUCAAAUCAUAACCCCCGGGGGUAGGGUGGGGCCAAAAUGGUCGACCAAAGUUUUACAUAGAAAUAUGUAGGAAAAUUCUUUAAAAAUCUUCUUCUCAAGAAUGACAAAGCCAUGAUUCAUCAUAUUUAUAUGGAAGCAUGCUCAGGUAGUGUAGAUUAAAGUUUGUUCAAAUCGUGACCCCGGGGGGUAGGGCGGGGCCAAAAUGGCCGACCAAAGUUUUACAUAGAAAUAUAUAGGAAAAUUCUUUAAAAAUCUUCUUCUCAAGAAUGACAAAGCCAUAAUUCAUCAUAUUUAUAUGGAAGCAUGCUCAGGUAGUGUAGAUUCAAGUUUGUUGAAGUCAUGACCCCCCGGGGUAGGGCGGGGCCAAAAUGGCCGAUCGAAGUUUUACAUAGAAAUAUAUAGGAAAAUUCUUUAAAAAUCUUCUUCUCAAGAAUGACAAAGGCAUAAUUCAUCAUAUAUUAAUGGAAGCAUGUUCAGGUAGUGUAGAUUCAAGUUUGUUCAAAUCAUGACCCCCCGGGGUAGGGCGGGGCCAAAAUGGCCGAUCAAAGUUUUACAUAGAAAUAUACAGGAAAAUUCUUUGAAAAUCUUUUUCUCAAGAAUGACAAAGCCAUAAUUCAUCAUAUUUAUAUGGAAGCAUGCUCAGGUAGUGUAGAUUCAAGUUUGUUCAUAUCAUGACCCCCCGGGGGUAGGGCGGGGCCAAAAUGGCCGACCAAGUUUUUACAUAGAAAUAUAUAGGAAAAUUCUUUAAAGAUCUUCUUCUCAAGAAUGACAAAGCCAUAAUUCAUCAUAUUUAUAUGGAAGCAUGCUCAGGUAGUGUAGAUUCAAGUUUAUUCAAAUCAUAACCCCCGGGGGUAGGGUGGGGCCAAAAUGGUCGACCAAAGUUUUACAUAGAAAUAUGUAGGAAAAUUCUUUAAAAAUCUUCUU